rnacentral:lncRNA from 1 species
GGCAUUUCUCUUUGUCUUUCCAUCUCAUCACUUUCCUUCUUCUCUUCCCUCACUUUCCAGUCCUCUUCCUUUUCUCCUAUCUGUUUUUGUCCCUUUCUCUAUCAAUUCUCCCUCUUUUUCCCUGUUUCUCUUUUCUCUUCUUUCUUUCUCUAUCAUUCUUUCAAUCUUCUCUGUGAACCUUCCUUACUAUCUCUUUAUUUUCUGUCUCUGUCUCUAUGUCUCUGUUUUUCUUUCUUGUUGUCUCUAUCUCUGUCUCUUUCUCUCUCCCCAUCUUUCCCUCUGCCUCUCUUCGUUUCUUUCUCUUCAUGCCUUCACAGGGAGCCCCAGGAGAUGCUGGAAUGUCUAUUAUUGGUCCUCGUGGUCCCCCGGGUCAGCCUGGCACAAGAGGCUUUCCUGGAUUUCCGGUGAGUGGGGAUGGUUUCUGUAAAUGCCCUUGCCCAUCCAUUUCAGCUGGGCCUCAUUGCACUGAGUCGUCCCUUACAUGGGCAUUCCCCUCUGAAGCAACAGUGGCUCUUUCGUGGAGUGCUCUACUCCUCAGCCCUUCCGAAAAUGAAGCCAGACUUGGGAUAGCUCAGAGCUGGGACUGCUUCUAGUUGUUAGAGAGAGAGAGAAAAGGGAAAG